rnacentral:rRNA from 1 species
GAACGCUGGCGGCGUGCCUAAUACAUGCAAGUCGAGCGAACGGACGAGAAGCUUGCUUCUCUGAUGUUAGCGGCGGACGGGUGAGUAACACGUGGAUAACCUACCUAUAAGACUGGGAUAACUUCGGGAAACCGGAGCUAAUACCGGAUAAUAUUUUGAACCGCAUGGUUCAAAAGUGAAAGACGGUCUUGCUGUCACUUAUAGAUGGAUCCGCGCUGCAUUAGCUAGUUGGUAAGGUAACGGCUUACCAAGGCAACGAUGCAUAGCCGACCUGAGAGGGUGAUCGGCCACACUGGAACUGAGACACGGUCCAGACUCCUACGGGAGGCAGCAGUAGGGAAUCUUCCGCAAUGGGCGAAAGCCUGACGGAGCAACGCCGCGUGAGUGAUGAAGGUCUUCGGAUCGUAAAACUCUGUUAUUAGGGAAGAACAUAUGUGUAAGUAACUGUGCACAUCUUGACGGUACCUAAUCAGAAAGCCACGGCUAACUACGUGCCAGCAGCCGCGGUAAUACGUAGGUGGCAAGCGUUAUCCGGAAUUAUUGGGCGUAAAGCGCGCGUAGGCGGUUUCUUAAGUCUGAUGUGAAAGCCCACGGCUCAACCGUGGAGGGUCAUUGGAAACUGGAAAACUUGAGUGCAGAAGAGGAAAGUGGAAUUCCAUGUGUAGCGGUGAAAUGCGCAGAGAUAUGGAGGAACACCAGUGGCGAAGGCGACUUUCUGGUCUGUAACUGGCUGAUGUGCGAAAGCGUGGGGAUCAAACAGGAUUAGAUACCCUGGUAGUCCACGCCGUAAACGAUGAUGCUAAGUGUUAGGGGGUUUCCGCCCCUUAGUGCUGCAGCUAACGCAUUAAGCACUCCGCCUGGGGAGUCGACCGCAAGGUUGAAACUCAAAGGAAUUGACGGGGACCCGCACAAGCGGUGGAGCAUGUGGUUUAAUUCGAAGCAACGCGAAGAACCUUACCAAAUCUUGACAUCCUUGACAACUCUAGAGAUAGAGCUUUCCCCUUCGGGGGACAAAGUGACAGGUGGUGCAUGGUUGUCGUCAGCUCGGUCGUGAGAUGUUGGGUUAAGUCCCGCAACGAGCGCAACCCUUAAGCUUAGUUGCCAUCAUUAAGUUGGGCACUCUAAGUUGACUGCCGGUGACAAACCGGAGGAAGGUGGGGAUGACGUCAAAUCAUCAUGCCCCUUAUGAUUUGGGCUACACACGUGCUACAAUGGACAAUACAAAGGGCAGCGAAACCGCGAGGUCAAGCAAAUCCCAUAAAGUUGUUCUCAGUUCGGAUUGUAGUCUGCAACUCGACUACAUGAAGCUGGAAUCGCUAGUAAUCGUAGAUCAGCAUGCUACGGUGAAUACGUUCCCGGGUUUUGUACACACCGCCCGUCACACCACGAGAGUUUGUAACACCCGAAGCCGGUGGAGUAACCUUUUAGGAGCUAGCCGUCGAAGGUGGGACAAAUGAUUGGG